CCAUUCGCCAGGGGACUACGAGCAUCAGCUUGAAACCCAAAGGACUUGGCGGUGCUUUAGAUCCACCUAGAGGAGCCUGUUCUAGAACCGAUAACCCCCGUUCAACCUCACCCUCCCUUGUUUAUCCCGCCUAUAUACCGCCGUCGUCAGCUUACCCUGUGAAGGUAUUAUAGUAAGCAAAACCAGUACAACUCAAAACGUCAGGUCGAGGUGUAGCGCAUGGGAGGGGAAAAAAUGGGCUACAUUCUCUAACUAAGAGAAUACGGACAAUGAAAUGAAAAGUCAUUUGAAGGAGGAUUUAGUAGUAAGCAAAAAACAGAGUGUUUUGCUGAAACCGGCCCUGAAGCGCG
rnacentral:rRNA from 1 species